GUCUGGGAGGGGAGCCUCCCUGAGGCUGGGAGUGGUCAGAGAGGGUAUUUCAGAGGGGCUGAGGGCAUCUGAGCUGAGCCCUGAAGGAUCCAUGGGAGGAUGGGGAGCCAGGGACGGGUCAGGAUUGGUGGAAGGCGUCUUGGUUAGAGGUUCCUGUUAGAAAAAUUUCUCUGCCUACCUCGUCAAAAAUACUGUUGGAGUGAACGAGCUGCAGAAGAGAGAAUGGAUUGGAGAAGGACAGAACUGGAGGCACAAGGUCUAUCUGGGAGUGUUACAGCCACCCAGGGGAUAAUCACAGUGUCGACCUGAGCAGAUGGAUACGAGGGUGUUGGAGAGGUCCACGCGGACCUUCUAGGUCUGCUCCAUCUUUCUGCACGGCUGCAUUGCAGCAAUUCUGUGGGGGAAACAACGAUGAACCGCCAUUCCCCUAUGUGUGAGGCCUUUUCCUUCCCUGACGAAAUAGAGACAAGAAUGAGUCAGCCUCUCCCAACCUCCAGGAUCUCCCAGUCGUCCCAGUGACUCAGAGGAUGGUCUGUUUCAUGGAUGACUUCAAGACCCUGAUGGUUCCUGGAGGCACACGUUGGAAUGAGCCUAGAUCCCUGGAUCACCAUGUGGAGGAAAGCCAUUAUGAAAUGGGAAUACCUCUUUAUUGUGUAGGCUCCAGAACUGUGAGACAAUGAAUUUCUGUUGAUUAAGCCAUCUACAUUGUGGGACCUUGUUGCAGCAGUCCUAACAAACUCAUACAACACUUCACUCUUCCUAUCAAGAGGUAGAGUCCAUUUAUCCUCCCCUUGAAUCUGGGCUGGCUUUGUGACUUUCUUUAGCCAACAGAAUGAGGUAGAAAUCGUGAAAUGGCCCUCCUGGGCCUAGGUCUUCAGAGGCCUGGCUGCUUCCAUUUCACCCCAGAGAGAAGCCAGGCUGCCAUGUUGUAAGGAAGUCCAGGCCAUGCUGCACGAGAUGUCCCGUGGAGAGAGAAACCAUUUGGAUUGUUCCAGACCCAGUCAAGCUUCCAGCCGAUGUCCCUAAUCAACAGCACAUGCAGCGGAAGAACGGUCUAGCUGAGCCCAGUGAACCCCAAGAGUUGAGAAAUAAGAACUUGUUGUUUUAAGCCACUGGGUUACGAGGGUGGUUUGUUAUUGUGAGGGUGUUUCUUAUGCAGCAACAGGCGACUGAAAAGAACUCUGGCAAGUCUUCUAGCACCUCUGCCAUAGUUGUCCCCACAGCGAGAUGCCUCCAGAGCCAUCCUUGCUACCAUCCUCCCCAACGGACUCUGGGUGCUGCCUGUUUCCUCACGUUGCUCACUUCCACAGAACAAUCUUCCGUGGUGCGUGUGGGCAAAGCUAGCAGCCCCCCUGCAGAGGGGGCUGGGAAGGAGCAUGUCUGGCUGUGGGGGAGGGGGUAUAGGAUUCGUGACAUGGAAAGUUCCCCAAACACAGAAGGACGUUCAAAGGGUACUGAGCACCCCUGAAAUAUGAUGAAGGCUGUCAAUAGGGCCAAAUAUAUAUGUAUUUUUUAUUUAAUUUUUGUGUGUGUGUGAACUCCCUGUGUGUUUGGCACACAGCUCUGGGCCCAUUCACCUUCUAAUUGUAAACAGUGCCCUGACAUCACCCUUCCUCACUCUGCAUCCCUGUGGUUUGGAAUGGACCAACUCCAGGGCUGGGCAUGUGAUUCAGGCCCAAACAAUGAUUUGUGACCCAGGCAGAGCCAACUUGGUGUAGCCUUGGCUUUUUGCUGGGACAGCUGAAAGAAAUGAGGACUUGAGCCGUGAGGGUGGAACUUGGAGCUGCUGGCAGCCAUCUUGCCACAGCAAGGAGCAGAGAAGAGAGACGAGGUGGGGAAGACUGAGCCUCGAUGAUAUUUUUAAAGCCUCUUGGAACCCGGAUCAGGCAGACUGUUGGCGUCUUCUCUUACAUGAGCGUCUGCUUGUCCUAUUUGCUUACACCAAGCCAAUCUGAGUAGUUUUCCAUCAUUCGUCAAGUCCUUAUUAACAUUCUUAUUUAAUACAAUGACUUUUUGCGGGAGGCGUUAUUUAUUAAACCCAUUUUACAGAUGAGGAAACUGAAGCACAGGGAGGCCACGUGGAGGCAGAUUUCAAACCCAGGAAAUCUAAUUCUGAGAGCCCACUCAGAAACCUUCUGCUUCCUCGGUGACAGGGAAGGAUUCACAGAGGAAGGUGUGACAUUGAACCUGACCUUUAACUCCAAGGGACAGGGUGGUUGGGCAGGAGGGGACAGAAAGGUUUUCUAGAGGAAGGAACUAGCCUGGGCAAUGACAAGGACUUUUCUGCUGAGAAGAAACUUCACCUAACAUUCACCACGUCCCUGCCUUGAAGCCUAUACUCACACGGGUCCCUCCCGUAGGGGAGCAUCACACCCCAUUUCUGUAGGGACACCUGUGCUCUCCUGGCUUCCACCCGUGUGCACCUAUGCUCUGCAGUGGGGCCUGGUGAGUCCUCUGUGGGGUCAAGGUUAGGGGAGGCACCCUCCUUUGCCUGAAAGACAGCUCCGGGCAGGGGCUACCCAAGGCUUCCACCCCUUGGACUGGGUCUCUGUCAGCUCCAGGAGGCCCUGGAGAUGCUCACAGAGUUAAACUGUGAAAUGUUACCUGACCAGAUGGCCUCGGGCCUUAAAAGAGCACAAAUGAAAAACUGUACAAGGGACCAGCGUGGUGCUUGCAGGAUCUCAA